GGAUCAUCAUGAAGGUAGAGGCCAUCAUUCAGGAUGAAACCAUCACCCCAGAAACCACCAUGAUGACCCAGGUUGAGACCAUCACACAGGAAGAGGCUACAUUCUGGAUGUGGCCAUGACCCAGGAAGUGGCCAUCACACAUGGCCAGCCCCAGGAUGCAGGCCCAGCUUCUUCCCAAACCCGGAGGCACCAGAGCUGGAAGGGGGUCAAGAAAACAAUUAUGAACUGCCUCAGAAACCUCUGUUGCUGCUGCCUGCCUCCUGCAGAGAGAGGCCAUGCCUCCUGCAAGAACCUGGCUCCAAAGGGAAGGGAUCAUGGAGUCACCCCCAGAACCAGUCCUGAAGAGGUCAAGCCCCAGCUCCUUGGCUUGUGAGCCACAGGUUGGGGACUGGUCUGGCUGAGAAUCAGACAGCCCCACGGGGAGCCAGGCCAGAUGUCCAGGAGACAGUGUGGAGACAGUUUCCUCCUGCAGAGGAAGAGCUGUCCACCCCAGCGCAGAUCUCUCCAGUUACUCACCUGCUGCCUCUCCAUGCUUGCUCCUUCAAGGCCACCAUUCCCAUUGGGAACUGGAUUCCACACUCACCCCCAAUGCCACACCAUGAGGCAGUGAUAGGUGUUGUGAUAUGGAUCGAACCAGAAACCCUUAUGAGGGGGCAGCAACCUGCUGUGGGCCCUGCCUCUUGCCAGCCCAAGUCUGCACUCAGAGGGCCAUGUCCCUAAGGUGCUUGUUCUUGCACAGACGGUGCCAACAUGCCACAGCAAAUACACAGAAGAGUCUGUGUGACUGAUGUGGACGGUACAUCGAUCUAUGUGUCUCCAUGUGACUUGAAAACAAUGGUCCUGGGACCAUAAUCAUGCUAUGCUGGCUUGUGUGUCCAACAGGUGUCUUGAUAGUGUUCCAGCACGAGGAGAA